AAAUAUAUUCAAUCCCCCUUCUGUUCUUUUUCACCGCGAGGCGUCUCCCAGUAUUCGGCUUUUAAAUUCCAAAACUUCUCCCAUUCCUCCUCCUUCAUCGCCAUUGAGAGAGGUGCAGUUCGCGAUGUUGGGGAACGGCGACUGCGAUGACGGAAAUGACGAUCGGUGUUCCUUAAAUACCUGCGGAAUUGCUCAACCAAAUUCUCGGCCUGCCGCCGCCGCCUCCUCCCUCGUCGGCCUGCCGCCGCCGUUCUUCGACCAAGUUCUUGACAACGUCCUCGAGAACGUGCUGUGUUUCUUGACCUCUCACCGCGAUCGCAACGCCGCUUCUCUGGUCUGCAAGUCGUGGUUCCUCGCUGAGGCCCAGACUCGGCUCGAGCUGUUCAUCGGCAACUGUUACGCAGUCAGCCCAGCCCGCGCUAUCGGUCGCUUCCGCUGCAUUCAGUCUCUGGUGCUCAAAGGAAAGCCACGCUUCGCCGAUUUUAAUCUGAUUCCAUUGGGAUGGGGCGCACGAUUCUCCCCAUGGAUUGCCGCCAUGGCUCCGUCUUAUCCCUCACUCCAGCGAAUAUGCCUCAAGAGAAUGACUGUAGCUGACGCCGAUCUCGUAAUCUUAGCAACCUCCUUCCCCAGUUUCCGAGACCUUACACUCAUUUGCUGCGACGGAUUCACCACUGCUGGCCUAGCCGCCAUAGCCGAGAACUGCAGACAGCUCCGAUCUCUUGAUCUGAUCGAGAAUGACGUUGAGGACGACGAUGACGAUGGGGUGGAUUGGGUGUCAUGCUUUCCACCUGGGAAGACAUGCCUCGAGUCCCUGGUGUUCGAUUGCGUUGGUUGUGCUGUGAACUUGGAAGCUCUUGAGUCUCUUGUGGCCCGCUCUCCUUCUCUCUGGAGACUGAGAGUCAAUGACUACAUCUCUGUCGGCCGGCUCUUCCGGCUCAUGGCCCGUGCACCGCAGCUAACUCACCUUGGCACUGGCUCUUUCUCCUCCUUCGAUGGAGAAGGUGAUUUCAGGGCCUCUCUCGAAUCAGCCUUUAUGGCUUCCAAAUCCCUGGUAUGCAUAUCGGGUUUUCGAGAUCUUGCUCCGGAAUACCUUCCCUCAAUUUACCCAGCCUGCGCCAACCUUAUCUCACUCAACUUGAGCUACGCCCUGAUUACAACUGACCAGCUCAAACCAGUCAUCACCCGUUGCCACAACCUUCAAACUUUCUGGGUUCUAGAUUCAGUGCUUGACGAGGGCCUUCAAAUGGUUGCUGCAACUUGUAAAAAUCUCAGGGAGCUUAGGGUUUUUCCUUUAGAUGCCACAGAGGAUUCCGAGGGUUCCGUAUCAGAUGUCGGCUUGGUAGCAAUCUCCGAAGGCUGCAAAAAACUGCAAUCAAUCCUCUAUUUCUGUCAGACUAUGACCAAUGCAGCCGUUGUCGCCAUGUCCAACAACUGCCAAGAUCUCGUAGUCUUUCGCCUCUGCAUCAUGGGUCGUCAUCGCCCCGAUCACCUCACUGGAGAACCCAUGGAUGAGGGAUUCGGUGCAAUCGUCAAGAAUUGCAAAAAUCUCACCAGGCUUGCUGUUUCCGGUCUUCUCACUGACAAAGCUUUCGCUUACAUCGGUAAGUAUGGGAAGUUAGUGCGGACCCUUUCAGUAGCUUUUGCUGGCAAUAGUGAUUUGGGAUUAAGAUACGUGCUUGAAGGAUGCCCCAAGUUGCAGAAGCUUGAGAUAAGGGAUAGCCCUUUUGGAGACACCGGUUUGCUCUCUGGGAUCCACCAUUACUACAACAUGAGAUUCUUGUGGAUGUCUUCAUGUAAGGUUUCGGUGAAAGGUUGCAAGGAGGUGGCAAGAAGAUUGCCUCACAUGGUGGUGGAGGUCAUUAGGGACAGGCUGGAGGAUGACAAUAGUGUCGCUAUGGAAAAAUUAUAUAUGUAUCGAUCUCUUGCUGGCCCAAGGAAUGAUGCCCCACCAUUCGUGAAGUUACUGUAGUUCCAGGUUCCAGGAGCUAGAAGCCUCCAUCUCAAGCAGACCUACAGAUGUUUUUCUUUUCAGCCGGAAGAGAAGACCUUCUCAAUCCUGCCAUUGCUCACAAACUAAUCAUCUUAAAGGCAAGGCUGAUAGAGAAGAUACAAAUGGAAGUUUGAUAGAUGAUGCUGGCACGUAAGCUGUGGCAGUAACAUCUACUUCUAUUACAUUCUGCCGGGACAUAGCUUAUUAACCAGGAGCAUCACUUACUCUGCGGUGAAGAUUAGAACUUUAGAAAAUUUUCAGAUAAAAUGAGCUAUCUUAUUCUGCAAGUGUAGGACUUGGUUUCUGUCUUUUAUGUGCUUCCAAUGCUUCGUUUUCCAUUGAUUAUCUGCCGUUAGUUGUUUAA